rnacentral:rRNA from 1 species
UCUGCUGUGCCGCCUUCCAGUUCUCCUGGGAAAUGCAUCGUUAAACUCGAGAACUUGAGUGCAGAAGAGGACAGUGGAACUCCAUGUGUAGCGGUGAAAUGCGUAGAUAUAUGGAAGAACACCAGUGGCGAAGGCGGCUGUCUGGUCUGUAACUGACGCUGAGGCUCGAAAGUAUGGGUAGCAAACAGGAUUAGAUACCCUGGUAGUCCAUACCGUAAACGAUGAAUGCUAAGUGUUGGAGGGUUUCCGCCCUUCAGUGCUGCAGCUAACGCAUUAAGCAUUCCGCCUGGGGAGUACGGCCGCAAGGCUGAAACUCAAAGGAAUUGACGGGGGCCCGCACAAGCGGUGGAGCAUGUGGUUUAAUUCGA